UACGUAGGGACCAAGCGUUGUUCGGAUUUACUGGGCGUAAAGAGCUCGUAGGCGGCGUGUCAAGUCAGUUGUGAAAUCUCCGGGCUUAACUCGGAACGGUCACUUGAUACUGAUGUGCUAGAGUGCAGAAGGGGCAAUCGGAAUUCUUGGUGUAGCGGUGAAAUGCGUAGAUAUCGUAAGGAAGACCAGCGGCGAAGGCGGGUCUCUGGACAGUACCUGACGCUGAGGAACGAAGGCGAGGGGAGCAAACGGG
rnacentral:rRNA from 1 species